GGCGCCGGGAGGGAGGCAAGGCCGGG
rnacentral:piRNA from 1 species